rnacentral:rRNA from 1 species
GAUGAACGCUGGCGGCGUGCCUAAUACAUGCAAGUCGAGCGAACAGAUAAGGAUCUUGCUCCUUUGACGUUAGCGGCGGACGGGUGAGUAACACGUGGGUCACCUACCUGUAAGACUGGAAUAACUCCGGGAAACCGGGGCUAAUGCCGGAUAACAUUUAGCACUGCAUGGUUCUAAAGUGAAAGUUGGUUUUGCUAUCUCUUAUCGCUGCACCCGCGCCGUAUUGUCUAGUUGGUAAGUUCACGGCUUACUAAGGCAACGAUACGUAGCCGACCUGCUAGGGGGUAGCGGCACAGGGGAGGUGAGAGCCGGACCAGACGCCGACGGGAGGCAGCAGCAGGGAAGCUUCCGCAAUGGGCGAAAGACUGACGGAGGGACGCAGCGUGAGUGAUGAAGGUCUUCGGGUCGGAAAACGCUGUUAGUAGGGAAGAACAAAUGUGUAAGUAACGGUGCAUGUCUGAACGGAACCGAAUCAGAAAGCCACGGCAAAUUAGUG